UACGAAGGGGGCUAGCGUUGCUCGGAAUUACUGGGCGUAAAGGGCGCGUAGGCGGCACUGUUAGUCAGGCGUGAAAGUCCUGGGCUCAACCUGGGAACUGCGCUUGAUACGGCAGAGCUAGAGGAUGGAAGAGGGUCGCGGAAUUCCCAGUGUAGAGGUGAAAUUCGUAGAUAUUCGGAAGAACACCAGUGGCGAAGGCGGCUCACUGGUCCGGUACUGACGCUGAGGUGCGAAAGCGUGGGGAGCAAACAGG
rnacentral:rRNA from 1 species